GGUUUGGCAGGACGUUACUUA
rnacentral:siRNA from 1 species